rnacentral:sRNA from 1 species
AGGAAAUGGCCUUGUUUAAAGAAGUUAAGUCUCUCCAAAUUAUUCCAUCCUACCUGGUGCAGCCAUUGAAAGCAAACUCUUCAGUUCACCUGGCAAUGAGUCAGAUGGGCCUCCUGGCCCGGCUGCUGAAAGACCUGGGCACUGGCAGCUCGGGCUUCACCAUUGACAACGUGAUGAAGUUUUCAGUGAGUGCCCUGGAGCAUAGAGUGUAUGAGGUCCGUGAGACGGCGGUUAGAAUUAUUUUGGACAUGUACAGACAACACCAGGCUUCCAUCCUGGAGUACCUUCCUCCAGACGACAGCAACACACGCAAGAACAUUCUCUACAAAACAAUUUUUGAGGGAUUUGCUAAAAUAGAUGGCAGACCUACAGAUGCUGAGAUGAGGGUAAGUUCACUUUGGUAAAGUUAUGACCUCAUCCUGUAUUGAAGAAGUUACUCGGUACAUAAAUAAGUAAACACGUAAUUUGAAGGAGUCA